rnacentral:pre_miRNA from 1 species
GGGAGAGUGCAGUAUCCUGGGCUGUGUCCCCGCGCCCUGGGAUCCCGGGCCUGGGUUGCUGGAAUCGCGCUCCCAGGGCUGCGGCUCCU